UAAAAAAAAAAUGAUAGACUUUAAGUCACAUUUCAUCUUUUAGACAUUUAGCUUCUAGCUGUCCUGGUUGAAUUUGGAAAACGAAAAGAACAAAUCAUGUUUUAUUGUAGUUGAUAUUUAAUUAAACAAUGAUUAUGUCGGUUGACAAGGGCGGCACAUGUCUGUUAGUUUUGGCCUUGGAUGCCUCCAUAAUGUACUCAAUACUUUGUAUCAUUUCAAUUCACCAAUUUGGUGUUCCACUUGAAUUCUGUAUUUACAAAUCACUGCUUAAAUGUUGUAA
rnacentral:lncRNA from 1 species